GUACAGGCACACCUCAACCCGGGAGCCCGUGCCCGGGAGAUGGCAUGGUGCAUCCGCCGGGGCUCCUGGCCCUGCGACAGCCCUCACGCGUCCCAUGAGGGACAAGGAAAGUGCCUUUGGCGUGGCAGAGGCCGGCCCGGAGGCGUCCCGCUGUGUGCUGGCUCUGCGGCCAGGGCGGCCGCCCCCGGAGCCGCGGGCGCGUUAUCGGUCGGACGCUCCUGCUGCUGCAGUCGCUGCUUUUGUUUUAUAAUUGGGUGGAGAGUGGAAACCUGGCGUCCUCUUUCUGUACAAACAGGAGGGAUGUAUUAUGCAGGGGCCCAGCUCUCUGCAUCGGGCUAAUGAAGGUCCCACCCCUCCCUCAUCUCUUCUCUUCGUUGCUGAGCUCUCCAUGGAAAUGGGCUGAGCAUCGUCCCUGCGCGCCCAGGCGCUGGCUUGGCUUUAUCAGUCUUAAUCAGCGGAAGAUACCUCUGGAGGGGCUCUUGACUUCCUGCCUGCGUCGUUACAGCUUGGGAAAAUAAACCCCCCACAUUCUAACGCCUUGAGGCUCCAACAACAUUUAAGACGCGGAGUGAAGCGCUGCUUCCCGGCGGAGCGAACCUGGCGGCAGCUCAGCCCCGCAGACACGACCGAGGGCAGCUGAAGGUUUUUCCACUCUCGGGAAGGUUUUUCCAGGCUCAGCCCCGCCGUACCUCGGGCCGUGGCCCUGCCGCCGCCGCGAGCGCUCAGGACUCGUGCCCGGAUGCUGCUCUGGAGUCGGAGCAGAGUCAGGCCCCGGAGGAAGCCCUGCUGAAGGCACAGCUGCUGCCUGGCACAGCUGAUGCACGGGAAAACCCAGCUACCCCAGAGUAAUCCCAAACUGGUGCCUGAGCCAGCCCUCUGAGCGUCCGAGGAGAUGAAGUCAGGACUCCUGCCUGCCACAGGAGCAGGGGAAGCCGAGGCCGGCGGAGGGAGGUAAGAGGAGGUCGAGCAGGCCGGUGCUGGAAGGAGAAGGUGCAGUAGGACAGCGACCUCGCGCCUGGGUGCUGCACUCUGCGCCCACGGGGAGCUGCCAGCGGUGGGCUCGGGGACCCUCUCCCCUCCGCUCAGCCACGCUCGGCUCCCUGCACCUCUCACCGCCCAGAGCUGCUGCGAUGCCGGCGGCAGCGCCGGAGGCUGCAGGAGGGACGGGGCCAGGCCCAGCUGAGCCGGGGAGCACGGCAGGCUUGACCGGCAGGACCGGCGUUCGGCAGAGGCCACUGAAGCUUUCACUGGUCAACCGUCAGAGCCUGUCCUCCAGACGCCUUCCUCCGACCCCCCGCAACACCUCCCUUCCCUCGGGAGCGGCAGCGGGGGGUGCUGCGGUCAGCGCCCCCAGGCCAGGCAGCACGCAGCGCUGUGCCGGGGUACGCGGUCCCGCUGGGUGCCGUGUUUGUGCCGCGCCGCCCGAGCCGCGUAACCAAACACUGUAGGUGCCCCCGAGCAGCGUCGGGUGUGUUCCUGCCAACCCCGAGUGGAAACGGGCUGGAGCGAUGGCGCGAGAACGUUGCAUCCAUUGGCAUGUUUCUACUUUUAACACGUUAAAGAUCAUGUCUGUAACCUGC